UACAGAGGCGGCAAGCGUUGUUCGGAUUUAUUGGGUGUAAAGGGCAGGUAGGUGGUCAAGCAAGUCCGCUGUGAAAUCCCAGGGCUCAACCCUGGAACUGCAGUAGAAACUGCUCGACUUGAGUAUCGGAGAGGUAAGGGGAAUUCUUGGUGUAAGGGUGAAAUCUGUAGAUAUCAAGAGGAAUACCAGUGGCGAAGGCGCCUUACUGGCCGAUAACUGACACUGAGCUGCGAAAGCAAGGGGAGCAAACAGG
rnacentral:rRNA from 1 species